AUUGAACGCUGGCGGCAGGCCUAACACAUGCAAGUCGAACGGUAACAGGAAGAAGCUUGCUUCUUUGCUGACGAGUGGCGGACGGGUGAGUAAUGUCUGGGAAACUGCCUGAUGGAGGGGGAUAACUACUGGAAACGGUAGCUAAUACCGCAUAACGUCGCAAGACCAAAGAGGGGGACCUUCGGGCCUCUUGCCAUCGGAUGUGCCCAGAUGGGAUUAGCUAGUAGGUGGGGUAACGGCUCACCUAGGCGACGAUCCCUAGCUGGUCUGAGAGGAUGACCAGCCACACGGGAACUGAGACACGGUCCAGACUCCUACGGGAGGCAGCAGUGGGGAAUAUUGCACAAUGGGCGAAAGCCUGAUGCAGCCAUGCCGCGUGUAUGAAGAAGGCCUUCGGGUUGUAAAGUACUUUCAGCGGGGAGGAAGGGAGUAAAGUUAAUACCUUAACUCAUUGACGUUACCCGCAGAAGAAGCACCGGCUAACUCCGUG
rnacentral:rRNA from 1 species